rnacentral:tRNA from 1 species
UAAGCUUCAGUUGUUAGCAAUUUAACCUUGUCAAGGUUGUGAGGUAUGGCUUAA